AUAACAAAAAAGAUCUGAUGUUUUCACACCCACCUCAAGAAUUCUUUAAAUUCAUUUAGCAUUGUACAUACUUUAUAUCAAGAUGUGAUACAACUUAUUUUCAACUGAACUUUCAUGUGGUAGUUUUUCUUUUCAUGCUUUGAAUUGUAAAGCUAAUAUGCCUCCAUGAAUUAAUUGUGUAUUCAUUGUUCUUGCAUUAAUUGUGAUAAGUACAAGUAAAUGAAUAUUUUUCUAACUUUC
rnacentral:sRNA from 1 species